rnacentral:misc_RNA from 1 species
AAGUCGUAACAAGGUUUCCGUAGGUGAACCUGCGGAAGGAUCAUUAACACGUAUCCAACGUUAAACCCCCCCGUGAAUAUUAAGCGUGCUCUUACAUCCUUGCACAACAGCAAUCUCUGGUAAAUCAUGUCGAACGGUUUGAUUCAGAGACCUCUGGCUUGUGCGAUGACGGCGGAAGCUAAAGGUGUAAUCGAGCGCUAGGUUCAGUGGUUUGGUCUUCCCCUCAAACCACUCAAUGAAUGUCAGUGUCAUUGAAGUGUGACAUGUGGUUUUAGGGAGGCUUGCGCCUGGUGAUUUGGACGCCGGCUCGUGUGAGCCUACAGCGUCGUUAAGCGACUUCCCCAUCCGGUUGGGCGUAAAAACGAACAACUGUUAACAAUGGAUAUCUUGGUUCUC